UAACAGAUACUUCGGUAAUGACGUUAGGAAAGCGAGCGGCGGAAUUGGGUGAGUAACGACGUGGGGAACCCGUCGCCCCACUAGUCUGGGAUACCACUUGGAAACAGGUGCUAAUACCGGAUAAGAAAGCAGAUCGCAUGAUCAGCUUUUAAAAGGCGGCGUAAGCUGUCGCUAUGGGAUGGCCCCGCGGUGCAUUAGCUAGUUGGUAAGGUAAAGGCUUACCAAGGCGAUGAUGCAUAGCCGAGUUGAGAGACUGAUCGGCCACAUUGGGACUGAGACACGGCCCAAACUCCUACGGGAGGCAGCAGUAGGGAAUCUUCCACAAUGGACGCAAGUCUGAUGGAGCAACGCCGCGUGAGUGAAGAAGGUUUUCGGAUCGUAAAGCUCUGUUGUUGGUGAAGAAGGGUAGAGGUAGUAACUGGCCUUUAUUUGACGGUAAUCAACCAGAAAAGUCACGGCUAACUACGUGCC
rnacentral:rRNA from 1 species